AAUCUCAACCACUAGGGUUUCCUAAUGGAUUGGAUUUGGGUGUUGCCAGCUUGUCUGGCUCGCCUUAAAGGAGUUAGCGAGUAUAGCAAUAUCGUCUGGCGUAAUAAGUUUCGCUGGUAAGAUUUGUGAAGCACGCUUCUAAUCGCCCUUGGGCAAUUUUUUGA
rnacentral:misc_RNA from 2 species